UACGGAGGGGGCUAGCGUUGUUCGGAAUUACUGGGCGUAAAGCGCACGUAGGCGGCUUUGCAAGUUAGAGGUGAAAGCCCGGGGCUCAACUCCGGAAUUGCCUUUAAAACUGCAUCGCUAGAAUUGUGGAGAGGUAAGUGGAACUCCGAGUGUAGAGGUGAAAUUCGUAGAUAUUCGCAAGAACACCAGUGGCGAAGGCGGCUCACUGGCCCGAUACUGACGCUGAGGCACGAAAGCGUGGGGAGCAAACAGG
rnacentral:rRNA from 1 species